CCUAGUUCGUAGUGAACGAAGUAAAAGUGUAACAACAGAAUCAAAAUCUCAUCUAUGAUUCACACCCAAAAAUUAGAAUCCAUCUUUGUCAAUAUAUCUUCACUCCAGGAACAAAUUUUUAUUAAUUUCAUACCAAUUGGAAGACAUGAUCAACACUGCUGCUACAUCCAAUGCUAUAAACCCUAAAUUUUUUAGGCAUGUCAAUAGCAUUGGAGGUAGCCAGGAGUUCUUUUUUCCUUCUCUCCCUCCCUCCAUUGUUAUAAUUCUCUCCACUAGAAUUAAUUUGUCGGAGCCAUGGCGUCAAAGUUGGUUCAGCUGCAACUUGCAAGUGAAAGCAUGUCAAGGCUUAUGUGCAACGUACUACAAGCAGAUGAUUGAGAAGAACAAGCAAUUCAACUCCUCUUGCAACCUUUAAUGUUUGCCAUUUCUUGAAAGCUUGAGAAAGGCUCUUAUGGAGAUAGUUCCACAUGCCUAAACAAUUUAAGAGCCUUUUCUCAAGUUAUAAAGAGAUCGCAAACAUUAAAGGUUGCCAGAGGAUUGCAGGUAAUAAGAAAUAAAAUUGGUUUCAGACCAAUUAAUUUGAUGGGGUUUGAACCUAUUCAAUCAGGAACCUGCUAGUUUUGAGAAGUGCAAUGAAUUGUCGAAGCAAUUGCUUUAAACUCAUCUUGCGAGUAUUGAUUUGACGAAGCGAUGCGUUAAAAGUGAAAGCAUGUCAAGCGGCCUCAUCUUUCAUUAAGCAUGGAGGCACGUACUACAAGCAGAUGAUUGAGAAGAACAAGCAAUUCAACUCCUCUGGCUACCUUUAAUGCUUGCAAUCUCUUGAAAGCUUGAUAAAGGCUCUUAUCGAGAUAUGUUCUACAUCCCAAACACUCUAAAGAACCUACUCAAGCUUUAAGAGAUGGUCAUCAUAUUGCUAUUAAAUCAAUGAUGAUUGCAGAUAAUAAGAAAUAAAAUUGGUUUCGAUCCGAUUCAUUCUGGAACCUGCUACUGUUGAGAAAUGCAUUGAACUGUUGAAGCAAUUGUUUUACACUCGUCUUGAGUGCAUUCCUAGCGUAUCAAAACUUUCUGGAAGGAGUUAAUCACGUGAAGGGCCUUUGGAAGAACAAGCAAGAGCUAAAGAUUGAGAAUGCAGGGCUUCCAGCUCUUUGGGGGCUGAAGUGCUUCUGCUGGUUUUGUGCUGGUUUUCCUUUACAGCUCUUUUGUGGGAAGAGGAUUUUGGUUUACUUGUUACCAUGUCGGAAGAUGAAUCACUGGCGUGAACAAAAGAGAGUUUACAAAGACAGACUGGCCUAGUCAUGUGUCCUAAGCUUGUUACCAAGAUUCUCUGCCGACCUGUUACUUAGGUUUGUCUCGUGGGGAUAGAUAUAAAGGGACUGCGAAGUGGAUUAAGGUUACAGACAACAUCAAAUCAAAGGUUAGCAUGCUGGACUAAUUCUUAUCUAUCUAGAGCUGGUAAAGCUGUGUUAGUUAGCAGUGUCAUUGCUAUCCUUCCUAUAUACUUUGUGCCUUUUUUCGGAAUGCCAGCUUCCAUUAUCCAGUAAGUUGAAAAGUUGAUGCGCGAUUUUUGUGGGAUGAUAGCAGAAACGUGGGUAAGAAGUACAUAUGGUGAAGUGGGCUCAGGUUUGUCGAAAGAAGAAAAAUGGAGAGUUGGGAGUCAAGAGUUAUGUAUGUAUCUCUCCUCUCUAAAUGGUUUUGGAAAUACUAUCAUGAAAUAUGUGUUGUGGAAGUUGAAUAAUAUUGUUCACAAAGAUGUGAUUGGUUUUCUUUCCCUCCUAAAGGUGCCUUUGGUACCUUGUUGUGGAAAGAAUAAUGGGCAGAGAAUCUAGCUUCAAGUCCAAUAUUCUGUACAAGGUAAAUAAGAGCACAACAAUUCGGUUCUGGGAGGACCCAUGGCUCUUUAAUGUCGCCUUACGACAGAAAUUUGCUGAACUUUUUAGUAAAGCAAGAUCUGAAGGCAAAAUGGUAAGUGAGGUUGGUUUUGCAUCAGGUGAACACACUAAUUGGUUGCUUGAGAUCCCCGGAAGACUCUCAUCCAUCCAAAGGCAACAAUUGGGGAUGAUCCAAGAAAAGUUGAAUGGUGUUAUUUUCAACUGGAACGAGGAAGAGAUGCAACGGAUUGCCUCUCCCUAAGAUGUUUUCUGUAAACUCUGGCUUCCAGCACCUCACCUCUUCUCAGCAGCUUUCUAACUUCGACAUCAUUAAUCGAAAGUACCUCCUAUAAUUUCUUUCUUCAUCUGGCGUGCAGUCCUUUACCGUGGACAAUUUUAUGCUUAGAGGUAUUGUUGCUGAUGCUAGGUGUCAGUUAUGUGAUGAAUUCGAUUCUAUAGAUCACAUCUUUCUUCACUGCUCCAAUGCUUUGAAGAUUUGGAAUAAUUUUCUGCCGGGUCUGGACUGGAAUUUCGUCAUCCCAAAGGUCUCUCAGUUAUUGCAUUGUUGUGAUGGUUUUAAUUCUGCUUAUAAUAUGGCAGACCAUCUGGCUCGAGGUUCUGUUUCAAGCCAAAUAUCUCUCAAAAGGAAUUAGGGGCCACUUUUGUUAUUCCCAUCUAUUGAAGAAUGUUAAGGGGUGUCUUGAAAAUAGAAAUUGUCCAUGUUGUCCUUCACCUUUAUACUAAAUCUAAACAUAUAUCCUUUAAUUUCA